rnacentral:rRNA from 1 species
GACGAACGCUGGCGGCGUGCUUAACACAUGCAAGUCGAACGGAAAGGCCCUGCUUUUGUGGGGUGCUCGAGUGGCGAACGGGUGAGUAACACGUGAGUAACCUGCCCUUGACUUUGGGAUAACUUCAGGAAACUGGGGCUAAUACCGGAUAGGAGCUCCUGCUGCAUGGUGGGGGUUGGAAAGUUUCGGCGGUUGGGGAUGGACUCGCGGCUUAUCAGCUUGUUGGUGGGGUAGUGGCUUACCAAGGCUUUGACGGGUAGCCGGCCUGGGAGGGUGACCGGCGACAUUGGGACUGAGAGACGGACCAGACUGCAACGGGAGGCAGUAGUGGGGAAUAUUGCACAAUGGGCGGAAGCCUGAUGCAGCAACGCCGCGUGUGGGAUGACGGCCUUCGGGUUGUAAACCGCUUUCGCCUGUGACGAUGCGUGAGUGACGGUAAUGGGUAAAGAAGCACCGGCUAACUACGUG